rnacentral:siRNA from 1 species
UAGAAUUCGUCACCCGCUGCUCCU